GUAGGUGGCAAGCGUCGUCCGGGAAUUAUUGGGGCGUAAAGCGCGCGCAGGCGGUUCUUUAAGUCUGAUGUGAAAGCCCACAGCUCAACCGUGGAGGGUCAUUGGAAACUGGAGAACUUGAGUACAGAAGAGGAAAGCGGAAUUCCACGUGUAGCGGUGAAAUGCGUAGAGAUGUGGAGGAACACCAGUGGCGAAGGCGGCUUUCUGGUCUGUAACUGACGCUGAGGCGCGAAAGCGUGGGGAGCAAACAGGAUUAGAUACCCUGGUAGUCCACGCCGUAAACGAUGAGUGCUAAGUGUUAGGGGGUUUCCGCCCCUUAGUGCUGCAGCUAACGCAUUAAGCACUCCGCCUGGGGAGUACGGCCGCAAAGGCUG
rnacentral:rRNA from 1 species